ensembl:lncRNA
AGCAGAUAUCCGUGUGUUCACUGCAGACUCCAGUGUGAAUGUGAGCAGCGUGUGAAAGGCCGCAGUCGGGUCACUGAUGCCACGCAUGAGCUGCACAAAUCCAGUCUGUCCAAAUAUGAGCUCGUCUUUCACAAGCAGCGGCUGUUAUGGUCUUUGAUCCUUCCGAUGGUAAAAUACAACAGACAGAAUGCUUUGGGAGCUUGUCAAGCGGAGGUCAAACAGGCAGAAGAAUGUGGUGAAAAUUACUCCCCGAGAGCCUCGUCAGUGUCACGUCGAGUGUUACACCUCCUCUCGCUGAAGGCCCCGAGGCACCACCGCUUUACGUGAAUCUGGAAUCUUCUGUGCUUGAGUUCAGGUGCAGCGUCCAAGAAAAAUAAUUGAACAAACGAUUACAGCGAGCGCUCCCACAUCAGGCCGAGUCAGAGCCUGCGGGGCGGAUCGGAUCCUCUCCGGCCCAAAGUACACGACAUCCGGCCGGGUGUGGAUUCGGGAGGAAUUUACACAGGAACGCCACAUUUACAACCUUUACUCCUGCUUUUCAGAGCUGCAAAAACAUCCACAGCUUCCCGUCAGGAUCUCCUUUCACUUGAUCCCGUGCUUCAGACGCAUAUAGCAUAUAUCAUUAUAGACCCAUGGAUUAAAUAUCUGCUAAAUAUAUGUUGUGAACAGUGAAAUAAAAUUAUUAUUAUUAUUUUUUUUUUUAUUAAAAAUAUAUUUAGUUUCAACUUUCAUUUACCAAUAUAUAUAUAUAAAAUAAAUAAACAAAUAAAAAAUAAAAAAAAAAAUAGGCUAAAUGCAAAUUUGGGUGGAUUCCACAAAGACAACAAAUAAAGUUAUUUUUUCAUAUAUGACAUUUCUGAAUGUAUUUUCUUGGAUUGAAAUAAAUAGGCUGUGAAAUAUAAUUUUAAAUCUUUUAAAAUAUUAUAUAUACAGUAUACAUACACACACAUACACACAUAUAUAUUAUUCAUUUAUUUAUUUAUAUUUUCAUGUUUAUUUUAUUUAUUUAUUUUGCCAUGUUGGGAUCAUUGUGUCUCUGUCUCAUCUGUGGAAUGUGUCAGUGACCUCUUGACCUUUGAGGUUAUACUGAGUUUUUCCCAGAACUCAGUAUAACCUCAAAAAGAGAUGUGAAAAGACUCAAAGGCUCAAAGGCUCAAAGGCUCCCAAACCUGUUUUUUUUUUCUUUUAUUUUUCUCUUUUGUUAAAGAAUUGCAUUCCAUGUGUCAAAAUGACAUUUUAAAGCUGUUUAUUUUAAUAUCACAGCCAGAAAAAGCCCGUGAAGCAUCACAAGGACCUUGACCAGAAGCAGCGUCUCCUGUCUGUGACCAGUGCUGUCCGUCUGUCUCUGUCUGUCUGUAUUGAGUUUUUCUUCUUCUGCUGUCUUUAGCAGAGACACAUUGGCAGUGAUUAUGUAAUAACAGAUGGGGGAUGAAAUUAACACGUUCAGUGUGUGUGUGUUUGAGAAUCUUCCUCGUGUCAAGUCUUUCAGAGUCUUGGACCCCAGCAGACCGACUGCACCUGUCAGAAAAGUAACGGCCGGAAUAUUCCAACGCUAAUUAACAGACCAGGAAUACUGAUCA